UCUCAGAAAUGAACUGGAAUGUUAGAAGAGAUGAAAAAGGGAGGUGAAUAACUUAGCUGUUGUCUCAAUUGAAAAUAAUAGGAGCAUAAAUUAAGACAGUAACAAUGAAAAGGCAAAGAGAGAAAGGAUUGGCAUUUCAUCACAGAAAUGAAUAUUUUACUUAUCUGAACAUGACUCUCAAGAAGCCUGGGCUGGGCUGCUGGAGCAUUAAAGAUUUGACUAAAUCCACCUACCACCCAAAUAAGAGCUUCCCGAAGAUCCGCAGAGAUGUAACCAGUGUUCCCCCUGUGUCCUGAGGUUGACAGAAUUUGCUACUAAUCUCCUGAAUGAAGACGUUUUUGGUGGUGGUGGUGGUCACCAUUGCUUUCCAAAGGGGACUGUGGGAGAAGAAUCUGGGCAGAGCCUAAUGCCUUUCUUGCAGGAGCUGGUGUUCCCCUCCUCUAUACCUGCCUCUAAACCCAUCUCAUGAGUACUGGAGAAAAACCCAUCUCAUGGGCAAAGGAGAAGAGCCUAUGAAUGAGACCAAUUUUCCCUUGUAUUUUUAUCUCCCAGGGAUUCUAUACACCUCUACUAGCUCACAUUAUCCUUCAGCAAUUUCUUACAAUAAAAUUGAGCUCACUUUUUCUUACAAGUAGUAGUGCACCAGCAAUUGCCCCAGGUAAGCAAUAUAGUGAGCACAUCAUUCGUUAUAGAUGCCUAUUUUUCUUUUGAUUUCUAGUUAGUCAGUUGUCCGGUGGCCUCAGCUUUCAGCUGCCAUUUAUUCAAGGUAAUUUAUUUUAGAAAUUAUCCAGCUUUUUGUUUUGUUUUGUUUUGGUUUUUGCUUCUGUUUUUCAGCCUUACUGACAUAUAAUUGACAAAUAAAAUUGUACACACUUAGUGUACAUGAACAGGUUAUAUACUUACACAUUGUGAAAUGAUUACCAUGAUCAAGUUUAUCAACACAUUCAUCACCUCACAUAGCUGCCUUUUUUUUUAAUAUAGUAAGAACAGUUAAGGUUCACUCAGCAAACUUCAAGUGAGAUUGUACCAAGUUUACUUAGCAAACUUCAAGUGAGAUCGUACCAUAUGUGCCUUCCUGUCUCUGACUUCACUCAGCAUGUCCUUCAGAUUCAUCCAUGUUGUCACAAAUGUCCUUUUGUAUUGUGUUAAGAGUAUAUAUGAUACUGCUUCCAGAUUUCUACAUUCUAAGCAGAAGCCUGCCGUUUGUUGCUGUUAAAUCUCUUCUGCAUUCCUGUAAUGAACCCGUUUCUAGAUUUGAUUAUUGAUUAAUAUUUUGUUUAGGAUUUUUGCAGAUCUCUUUAUUAGAGAUAUUAUUUUGUAAUGUUCUAUUCUUAAAUGUGCUUUUUAGGUUUUGCUAUCAAGGUUUUGAUAGUCUCAACAGUGUGAAAAAUAUGUUUCAGUGUCUGUUUCCUGGAAUAAAGAAAAUAGA